GCCUCGAUGGUGUAGUGGUUAGCAUCCCAGAUUGUCAAUCUGGUGACCCGGGUCCGAAUCCCGGUCGGGGCGC
rnacentral:tRNA from 1 species